rnacentral:rRNA from 1 species
ACAUUCAGUAAGCGGAGGAAAAGAAACUAACCCAGGGAUUCUCCCAGUAACGGCGAGUGAACGAGAGUUUAGCCCAUCACCGAAAGUCCUAUCUACAUUUGUGGACAGGACCAUGGUGGUGUUCGGGCGUGCACCUGGGAGCGCUUGCCUACUCGAAGUCCAUCUCCGAAUUCUGGCUUGGACUAUGCCCAUAGCGGGUGAAAGGCCCGUUCGGGUAGGUUGUUGUUAUUUGAAGCGCUCCUUAGAUGUGCAUGCUCUCGAGUCGGAUUGCUUGAGAAUGCAGUCCAAAGUGGGUGGUAAACUCCAUCCAAGGCUAAAUACUGGCACGAGUCCGAUAGUAGACAAGUACCGUGAGGGAAAGUUGAAAAGUACUCUGAAGAGAGAGUAAA